UCCAGCAGCCAUACAGUAUCAUUCUGCAACUCACAACUGACAAUCCACUGAAGCUAAGCAGGUGUGAGCCUGGUCAGUACCUGAAUGAGAGACCUCCUGGGAAAAAGGUUGCUGCUGGAA
rnacentral:rRNA from 1 species